rnacentral:rRNA from 1 species
AUUGAACGCUGGUGGCAGGCUUAACACAUGCAAGUCGAACGAGUGGCGGACGGGUCAGCAAUGCUUGGGAAACUCGCUUAUGGAGGAUGAUAAUUACGGGAAACUGUAUCUAAUACCGCGUACCAAAGGAUGAGCCCAAGUGGGAUUUGGUAGUUGGUGAGGUAAAGGCUCACCAAGCCGACGAUAUCUAGCUGAUCUGAGAGGAUAACCAGCCACCAUGGGACUAGGGCGAGGCCCAGACUCCUACAAGAGGCAGCAGUGGGGAAUAUUGCGCAAUGGGGGCAACCUGACGCAACCAGGCCGCGUAAAUGAAGAAGGACUUCGGAUUGUGAAAUUCUUUCGAUAGCGAGGCGUUAACUACUGAAGAAGCACCGGCUAAAACCGUGCCAGCAGCCGAGGUAAUAC